AUUGAACGCUGGCGGCAUGCCUUACACAUGCAAGUCGAACGGCAGCACGGGUGCUUGCACCUGGUGGCGAGUGGCGCACGGGUGAGUAAUACAUCGGAACAUGUCCUGUAGUGGGGGAUAGCCCGGCGAAAGCCGGAUUAAUACCGCAUACGAUCUACGGAUGAAAGCGGGGGACCUUCGGGCCUCGCGCUAUAGGGUUGGCCGAUGGCUGAUUAGCUAGUUGGUGGGGUAAAGGCCUACCAAGGCGACGAUCAGUAGCUGGUCUGAGAGGACGACCAGCCACACUGGGACUGAGACACGGCCCAGACUCCUACGGGAGGCAGCAGUGGGGAAUUUUGGACAAUGGGCGAAAGCCUGAUCCAGCAAUGCCGCGUGUGUGAAGAAGGUCUUCGGGUUGUAAAGCACUUUUGUCCGGAAAGAAAUCCUUGGCCCUAAUACGGUCGGGGGAUGACGGUACCGGAAGAAUAAGCACCGGCUAACUACGUG
rnacentral:rRNA from 1 species